UACAGAGGUCUCUAGCGUUGUUCGGAUUCAUUGGGCGUAAAGGGUGCGUAGGCGGCUCGGUAAGUCGGGGGUGAAAUCUCGGAGCUUAACUCCGAAACUGCAUUCGAUACUGCCGUGCUUGAGGACUGGAGAGGUGACUGGAAUUUACGGUGUAGCGGUGAAAUGCGUAGAUAUCGGAAGGAAGACCAGUGGCGAAGGCGGGUCUCUGGACAGUUCCUGACGCUGAGGCACGAAGGUCAGGGGAGCAAACGGG
rnacentral:rRNA from 1 species